GAAGUGCCUUAGCUCAGUGGUAGAUCAUCAGCUUUGCAUGCAGAAGGUCCUAGGUUCAAUCCUGGGCAUUUCU